rnacentral:rRNA from 1 species
GACGAACGCUGGCGGCGUGCUUAACACAUGCAAGUCGAACGGAAAGGCCCUGCUUGCAGGGUACUCGAGUGGCGAACGGGUGAGUAACACGUGUGUGAUCUGCCCUGCACUUCGGGAUAAGCCUGGGAAACUGGGUCUAAUACCGGAUAGGAGCCAUUUUUAGUGUGAUGGUUGGAAAGUUUUUUCGGUGUAGGAUGAGCUCGCGGCCUAUCAGCUUGUUGGUGGGGUAAUGGCCUACCAAGGCGGCGACGGGUAGCCGGCCUGAGAGGGUGGACGGCCACAUUGGGACUGAGAUACGGCCCAGACUCCUACGGGAGGCAGCAGUGGGGAAUAUUGCACAAUGGGCGCAAGCCUGAUGCAGCUACGCCGCGUGGGGGAUGACGGCCUUCGGGUUGUAAACUCCUUUCGCUAGGGACGAAGCUUUUUGUGACGGUACCUAGAUAAGAAGCACCGGCUAACUACGUG